rnacentral:rRNA from 1 species
UACGGGGGGAGCAAGCGUUGUUCGGAUUUACUGGGCGUAAAGGGCGCGUAGGCGGCCUCCGCAAGUCAGUUGUGAAAUCUCCGAGCUUAACUCGGAAAGGGCAACUGAUACUGCGGGGCUAGAGUGCGGAAGGGGCAACUGGAAUUCUUGGUGUAGCGGUGAAAUGCGUAGAUAUCAAGAGGAACACCUGCGGCGAAGGCGGGUUGCUGGGCCGACACUGACGCUGAGGCGCGAAAGCUAGGGGAGCGAACGGG